ACGAACCGUGCGAACGUUAUUCGGAAUCACUGGGCUUAAAGCGCGUGUAGGCGGGAGGGCACGUCCGUCGCUGAAAUCCCCCGGCUCAACCGGGGAACGGGCGCGGAUACGACCUUCCUGGAGGGGCGUAGGGGGACCUGGAACUUCCGGUGGAGCGGUGAAAUGCGUUGAGAUCGGAAGGAACGCCCGUGGCGAAAGCGAGGUCCUGGACGCCUACUGACGCUGAGACGCGAAAGCCAGGGGAGCGAACGGGA
rnacentral:rRNA from 1 species